AAGUCGUACGGAGAGUGGGGCAACUCACUCUCAGUGGCAAACGGGUGAGUAACGCGUGAAUAACCUGCCUUUGAGAAGGGGAUAACUGUCCGAAAGGAUAGCUAAUACCCUAUAUUGCCUUUUGUCACUAAGGCAAAAGGUGAAAGCGAGGCUGUCAAAGGCUUCGGCUCAAAGAGGAGUUCGCGUCCUAUCAGGUAGUUGGUGGGGUAAUGGCCUACCAAGCCAAUGACGGGUAGCUGGUCUUAGAGGAUGAUCAGCCACAGUGGGACUGAGACACGGCCCGCACCCCUACGGGGGGCAGCAGUGGGGAAUCGUGGGCAAUGGGCGCAAGCCUGACCCCGCAAUGCCGCGUGAGGGAAGAAGCCCUUCGGGGUGUAAACCUCUGUCAGAUGGGAAGAU
rnacentral:rRNA from 1 species